ACAUUGAAUCUAGCAAGAUUGAGUUAACAACUUAGUUUUAUGUCAACGAUUGUCUCUUCUGUUUAUUUUUAGUUUUUAAAAAAAGAACUCAGUUAAAACUUUGACGAAACGUUGUGAAACCUUGACGAGUCGUUGUGAAACUUUGACGACAUGUUGUGAAAUUUUAACGAGUUGUUGUGAAGCUUUGACGAGUUUUUGUUUGUUCAAUAUCAGGUAUUUUAUCUUGUCUCUGUUUAAAAUAAAGUAUACACAGAUUUUAUUACAGAUUUAAAGUUUGAGAACAUCAUAUAAUGUGAAAAUGCGAAUUGUUUUUAAUUGAAAAGGAAUGGGAUGAUAUUAUGUAUGAACAUUGAUG
rnacentral:lncRNA from 1 species